AUUGAACGCUGGCGGCAGGCCUAACACAUGCAAGUCGAGCGGAUGAAGGGAGCUUGCUUCGGGAUCCAGCGGCGGACGGGUGAGUAAUUCCUAGGAAUCGGGCUGGUAGUGGGGGAUAACGUCCGGAAUAGGGCGCUAAUAGCGCAUACGACCUGAGGGAGAAAGUGGGGGAUCGUCGGCGCUUAAGUUACUAGAUGAUGCGAGGACGGAUUAGCAAGUUGGUGGGGUAAAGGCUUACCAAGGCGACGAUCCGUAACUGGCCUGAGAGGAUGUUCAUUCCCACUGGAAGUGAGAGACGGUCCAGACUCCUACGGGGAGCAGCAGUGGGGAAUAUUGGACGAUGGGCGAAAGCCUGAUCCAGCCAUGCCGCAUGUGUGAAGAGGGUCUUCGGGUUUUGAAGCACUUUGAGUUGGGAGGAAGGGCAGUAAGUUCAUAACUAGCUGUUUUGACGUUACCUACAGAAUAAGCACCGGCUAACUUCGUG
rnacentral:rRNA from 1 species